GUAAAGGGACGGCUAAAGUGUGCGUGACAACUUCAUCCCGCCGCGGAACGGGGAAAGACCGGUGCGAAUCCGGCGCUGACCCGCAACCGUGACCACGGCCCGCCCCCGCGGCCGGCCGUGCGAGCCGGACCACCCGGUCCCUGGCGGCAAGGCUU
rnacentral:ncRNA from 1 species